CAUUAGCUCCGCCGCAGA
rnacentral:miRNA from 1 species